CAAUAUUGAGGUCACCUUGGUUUUUUAGUCACGACUGCAUAGAAUACGUGCCUGACGUCAUUUAGGGACUGAAGUACAAGCGUAAGACUGCGACAAAGUAAUUCGAAUAGAACCACACGUGUCAUUGCCAUCUAUUUGACUUUCAGAGCUUAUUGGACGUCAGCAGACAUGCGCAUUAGUUCUUACGAGAAUUUUUGUUGGCGUUCACCACGUAAAGUGUGCAGUGUGCAUUUCUUUGUUGGCAAAUGCGAAAUAACGAGAAGUUUUUAACAGCAACUACUACAUUUAACGUCUUACAAUUAUUAACGAAAAACAAAAAGUCAUGGCUAACUUGAAGGAAAGGGACACACCCCGCAAAUUGAUUUACUAAAAUAUGUAUGGAAUGACCAUGCAGAAUAUUUUCGAAAUUAUUGCCGAAUACCAGCUGACAUAUUUAAUAUUUUACUUUAGAUGCUAACUUACAAAACCAAAAAAUAAAAUACGAAUCAUAAUAAAUUUACAUCAGCCAAAGAGAAAUCAGUUUUAAUCUGUAAUUUUUGGGCAUGAAGAAUUCGUAUUUUAGUUUAAUAGUCAUCUUCACAAUAACAAAGUAAACAACAAUAUCAAGUAUUGUUGCGGAGGUCUGCACAUCUCUAAUUGAAAUACAACAAGAAUAUGUUAAGAUGCCUGAAGCUCAAGGAGAUUGAGGAAAUGAUGCACAAGGAUAUGAAGAAAAUGGAAAAUUUCCGCAGCGUAUUGGAGUAAUGGAUAGGAAACACAUACAGUUAAAAGCGCUACCGGAAGAAGGAGCAAUUUUAUAAAUGACAAAUCUUGCUUGCGGAUUUAUGUUUUAAUUUUAUAUAUAAUAAUGGUUGAUGUGUAUGUCAAAAUUCGGAUGGAGGUGCUUAUGAAAUUUUAUCUUAGCAUUUGUGCUAUACAUAUGGAGAAAAUACUUUACAACUGUUACCUUCGGCUAUACUUUAAGAGUAAAAAAAACCAAAUGCUUUUAACGCAGACAAUUCAUUGCCUCAAAACACAAAUCUCGUUCAUCCGUAUCUUGGUUCACAUCAGAGGGUUCCUGCUAAUUAAUUGUAUAAUUAUAAUCUUUGAAGAGCAUGUAGAGGGAUAAAAAUGUCUUUGGGACUA